UUUAUAUUGACCAAUCAAAAUCGUCCUAAUGAAAGGGCUUCAAAAGAAUGUUUGAAGAUGGCGACGAAGGAUGAAAGAGGAUUUGGAAAACGAAUAAACAGAUAUUUUGCCUCAUCACAAAGUUUAAGGGCUAAAUUGUUAGUGUCUGAUCAAACAGUAGUUUGGACUCCAGUCUGAAAAACCCUAGAUUCUGACAAUGUUUCUUUCAAUUUGUGACUGGGCCAAACAAAUUACACGGUGGAGGGAACUCUUAAAACACACAGACAGUGACACAGAAAAAGCCACUACAAGCAUCUGAAGAUGAAUCUGAGAAUGGCACUACAGAUAUAGGUUGUGAACCAGCUCUAGAGUUUCAACAUACAGAUCUUAGCCUAUGGUACAUGUAUUCAUUCUCGUCCCUGGUGACACUUGCUGACGGAAGGAAAAUCAUAUUUCUUACAUUUACAUGUUUUGUUCAUGCCUGUUCCUUUGCAUUUGCACCCAUGCUUGUUUUGCAGCAGCAUGCAAUGAAAUUCCUUUUGUUUUACAAAUUACAUUUUCAAUUUUGUAUGUCAAAAGUUCUAUUGCACUCAUAACCUAACAAUAUGCCAAAUAAUAGUUUGUAUAAAAUUGCAUCCUUAAUAAUAAUAUCAGCAACCCUACAUCCAGAGUUACUCUUCUCACAAUAACAAAUAUAAAAAAGAAGAUGUGGUAUGAUUGCCAAUGAGACGACUAUCUACAAAAACUUUUUCAUUCUUUGCCUACUUUUUAACACUAUUUUAUUAUAGUUUUUAGUUUUUUUGGAACAGAUUUUUAUAUAAUUUAUGUCCAUUUUCUUCCGUGAUAUACUGUA